GGCUAGUAAACGUCAGCGUAAAAGAAAGCGGGCAGAUGAAAAAGAAAACGAUUUUGAAUCAUAUUUUGUGUCUAUUUCCGAGCGGACAAAAUUUCACAAAAGAAGUUGCCGAAAAUGAAUUUUGAUUGAGAUCUUUUAUGCGAGAUCAGUAACAAAAUACUUACAUCAUAGACACAAAAAUGGAAAAAGAAGGAUUAAGAAAGAAAAAGAAAUUUCGAUUUUUGGAUUCAGUGAAAACACUAUUUUGUUUUUUAAUUUUGUGGACAAGAUCUUUAGUGAACAUGUUAGUGAAUUAUACACUAAGCAGUUUAUUUGUAAAUGAUUAUAUGUUAUUAUUAUUAUCAAAAUGGUUUCAUUAUUUCAUUUUUAAUAUUUUUCAUGCUCAUCCUAUUCAAUGUUCAAUUUAAUCACAAUUAGAGUGAGAUGAAAACGACGAAAAUUAUCUGUCAAUUUGAAGGAGUUUUGAAAUUG